rnacentral:rRNA from 1 species
CCUACGGGUGGCAGCAGUGGGGAAUAUUGCACAAUGGGCGAAAGCCUGACGCAGCGACGCCGCGUGAGGGAUGAAGGUCUUCGGAUCGUAAACCUCUGUCAGCAGGGAAGAACGGUCACUGUGCUAAUCAGCAGUGCAUUGACGGUACCUGCACAGGAAGCACCGGCUAACUCCGUGCCCGCAGCCGCGGGAAUACGGUGGGUGCGAGCGUUUAUCGGAAUUACUGGGCGGAAAGCGCUCGUAGGCUGGAUGUCCAGUCAAGGGUGAAAUCCCCGCGCGAAACGUAGGAACUGCCUUGGAAACUGGCAAACUGGAGUGUAGGAGAGGAUAGUGGAAGUCCAGGUGUAGGAGUGA